GACGAACGCUGGCGGCGUGCUUAACACAUGCAAGUCGAACGGAAAGGCCCUGCUUUUGUGGGGUGCUCGAGUGGCGAAAGGGUGAGUAACACGUGAGUAACCUGCCCUUGACUUUGGGAUAACUUCAGGAAACUGGGGCUAAUACCGGAUAGGAGCUCCUGCUGCAUGGUGGGGGUUGGAAAGUUUCGGCGGUUGGGGAUGGACUCGCGGCUUAUCAGCUUGUUGGUGGGGUAGUGGCUUACCAAGGCUUUGACGGGUAGCCGGCCUGAGAGGGUGACCGGCCACAUUGGGACUGAGAUACGGCCCAGACUCCUACGGGAGGCAGCAGUGGGGAAUAUUGCACAAUGGGCGGAAGCCUGAUGCAGCAACGCCGCGUGCGGGAUGACGGCCUGCGGGUUGUAAACCGCUUUCGCCUGUGACGAAGCGUGAGUGACGGUAAUGGGUAAAGAAGCACCGGCUAACUACGUG
rnacentral:rRNA from 1 species